rnacentral:rRNA from 1 species
UGGGGAAUAUUGCACAAUGGGGGAAACCCUGAUGCAGCGACGCCGCGUGAGCGAAGAAGGUUUUCGAAUCGUAAAGCUCUGUCCUAUGGGAAGAUAAUGACGGUACCAUAGGAGGAAGCCCCGGCUAACUACGUGCCAGCAGCCGCGGUAAUACGUAGGGGGCAAGCGUUGUCCGGAAUCACUGGGCGUAAAGGGUUCGCAGGCGGAAAUGCAAGUCAGUUGUGAAAGGCAGAGGCUCAACCUCUGUAAGCAAUUGAAACUGUAUUUCUUGAGAUGUGGAGAGGCAAGUGGAAUUCCUAGUGUAGCGGUGAAAUGCGUAGAUAUUAGGAAGAAUACCGGUGGCGAAGGCGACUUGCUGGACACAAACUGACGCUGAGGAAAGAAAGGGUGGGUAGCAAACAGG